UACGGGGGGGGCAAGCGUUGUUCGGAAUUACUGGGCGUAAAGGGCGCGUAGGUGGCCUUCUAAGUUGAACGUGAAAUCCCUGGGCUCAACCCAGGAACUGCGUCCAAGACUGGGAGGCUUGAAUCCGGGAGAGGGAUGCGGAAUUCCAGGUGUAGCGGUGAAAUGCGUAGAUAUUGGGAGGAACACCGGUGGCGAAGGCGGCCCCCUGGACCGGUACUGACGCUGAGGCGCGAAAGCGUGGGUAGCAAACGGG
rnacentral:rRNA from 1 species